CCUGGAAGCAGCCCCACUGAUAUUCUUGUUCCUUAACUGUUAAGGGCACAAAAAGAUAUUCCACACCCAUACAGAGAAGAUUUGGAUGAAAUUCCCUGGAGUGAGUGGAAUGAUAUAGUGGAGCAGUAAUUAAAAAGUCCAGACCAGGCUUCCAUUUUUUCUACUUUAGAAAAGCACUGCUGUUUUCCUUCUGUAUCUUUUCAGACUUUGCUUUCCUGGCUUGGAUUUUUUUGUUUUCAUUACAGGUCACAGGAAUUCUCCCUUUAUUUUUUUAUUUUAUUUUUUUUUUAAUUUUUUUAUUUUGUGUAAGACUGCUUUCAACGGUUACAAUGAAAUGACAAAGCAUAAAAACCACAUAAGAAAGCAUCUAAAAAUCCCAUAACAAUAAUAUAUCCCCUCCCACAAGCUUUUUGUUCCCCUAAAAAAAUUCCAUAUUCCCCCCACUUCCAGAAAUAAAACCAAAUCUUUCAAUGUCUUUUUUUGAUCCAUUUGGUCUGGGUCUUUAGUAGGGAAAAUUGUGCAAAUGACAACAGCUCAGUGAGAAGAGAGAAGCUGCUGGUUGUGCUGGACAGAGGACUCUGGGCAGCAAAAGGCUGAGUGGCUGCUGGUCAGAGGGAGUGUGACACACAUCUUGUCACUUUGCAGAGAGCAGCAGCUCCACUAGGCACCCUUCUGGAAACCGAGAGGUCAACGUCCCACACAGAGCAAUCUCCAACAGUUGUGCAUAACAGGCAAAAGAAUUUUAGAAGCAGUAUUCACCGAUAAAGAGAAUCACCAGCAAGGCUACAGAUAAUCAUCUGUGGGAAGUGGAAUUCCUUGACUUUGUUUACAGCCUCCAAGAAUCAAGGUCCUGGAGUUUAUCAGGAUGUCUCUGCAGCCACCAUCCACUGAAGGCAGCCUCCAGUAACCUCUGCAGGAAACUGCCACUAACAAGUCAGACAUGUCCAGGAACUGAAGUCUGGAAAAGCUUCUAACUUCAAGAUCUUUACAGUGUUUUCCUAAACUGGGAAGCUGACCUUUGUCUCUUGGAGUCAUUCUGGACAUUGCUGGCAUCGUCAGCUGUCCAACAAUUUUGAGAAAAUCAGUUCAUCCAUAGCUUCUGCACCAGCUACUUGCAUGGGAGAAGGACACUAUUAAAAUUCUCCCUGGAGAGCUGCUGAAUUUAGAACAGUGAAAAAAAACAGGAUGGUGCUGAGGAAAAGGAUUUUCUUCUAGUGGGAAAAAUGCUCAGAAGAACUUUUGUGACAGUGUAAAUGAGACAAAAAGGUUUUAGUUUCCUUGCUGAAGGUUUUUGGCAGCAAGAUGAGACCUCUGCACUGCAUACUUCAAAUAUGAGGGAAAACUGAACUGUGGAAGGGUCUAUUAUUUUUAUUGUCUAUAAAAAUGACUAAAGGUGACUUGUCCAGGUGUCAGCUUGCACACUAUAGGCAUCUGCAGACAUUUGCAACUCAUGUCAAAAUAUACAUUUCAAGAUGGUAACAGCACUGACAGAAUAGUUUUAUUAACCAUUAAUGACUUUAAAUAAUUAUAAAUAAAGAGUAUACAUAACAUAAAACA
ensembl:lncRNA